GAAGAAGAUCGGAAGCAGCGGCCAGCCGCCCAUCGCCGCCGCACCGGAGCCGGACUGCCCGCGCCCGCGCUCGUGCGCGCGCCGCUCGCCGCCGUGUGUCGCGAGCCCCAUCCGCUCCUCCCUCCGCGCGAAUCAGCCCUGUUUCGCCCCUGUUCCGCACCGACCAGCCACCGUCCGGCCACCUCCGGCCACCGCCUAGCCCCGCCGGACUUCCCCGGCGUCCCCCUCGCCCUCCGCCGGCUUCCCCUUGCCGCCCUAGCCGCCGGAGCAGCCCCGAUCGGCUCCGUCUAGCAGACCCACGGAGUGGGUUUCAGCAUCUUCGGGCCCGCUUUUUGGGCCGUUUCCCGGCCCGGAUCCGCGAGUCGCUUUGGGAACAAUUGUUCCUCGCGUCGCCGCCGUCGGAUUGAUCCGAUUUGCGCGCGAUUUGGACCCCGCUAAGGAGCUGAGGAGGAAGAGUUGGAGAAGGAUUUUUGUGGGAGAAGAAGACAAUCUCGAGAGGGGCCGUGAGUACGGCCAAGAUGGACUGAAACUCUAUCUUCUUUGAUAUCUCCCUUUUGAUGUGAAUAGAGUUUAGAAUAAAAAGAUGUGAAGUGUUCUGGUUUGUUGUUUGUAUAAAAGUUUGGUUAUAAAUUUCAAUAUGAAAAAUAUGGCCCUGCUUUUCUAUCC